UCCCUGGAGGACUAGUGGUUAGGCCUCGGCGCUCUCACCGUCACGGCCCGGCUUCAAUUCCCGGCCAGGGAA